GCCGGGAUGGUCCAAUCGGUUAAGGCGUCGCCCCCGACAGGCGAAGGUUGCGGGUUCAAUCCCCGCUCCUGGCC
rfam:Ixodes scapularis strain Wikel colony gcontig_1107729166800, whole genome shotgun sequence.